rnacentral:rRNA from 1 species
ACUCCUACGGGAGGCAGCAGUGGGGAAUAUUGCACGAAUGGGGAAGCCCAUCGAUGCAGCCAUGCCGCGUGUGUGAAGAAGGCCUUCGGGUUGUAAAGCACUUUCAGUAGGGAGGAAGGUAGUGUAGUUAACACCUGCAUUAUUUGACGUUACCUACAGAAGAAGCACCGGCUAACUCCGUGCCAGCAGCCGCGGUAAUAGCGGAGGGUGCGAGCGUUAAUCGGAAUUACUGGGCGUAAAGCGCAUGCAGGCGGCCUGUUAAGUCAGAUGUGAAAGCCCGGGCUUAACCUCGGAAUUGCAUUUGAAACUGGCAGGCUAGAGUC